ensembl:lncRNA novel transcript, antisense to ADD2
GAGUGCACAGGGAAUGUUCAUCAAAAUAGGUCCAUCAUGUUUUGAACCACAGAACAAACUGCAACAAAUGUUUACCACUAGGUCACCUGGCUGCCCUUCUCUCUGAGUUAAGUGGCCUAGCUCCAUCCCUCCUGGUAAAGAUGGUUCUUCCAUCUUGCUGAUAGGAGUACUUUAAAGUUACUGCUUAAAGAUGAGAAGACUGUGGCUUGGAGACGUUAAGUGACUUACCCAAGGGCACAGAGCUCAUGAACCUGAAUCAGGGUUCACGCCAAACAGUGUGGCUCUGGGGCCCCGGGCUCCUGUACACUAUUCUGCAUGAUCUCUUGGCCUGGAGAACAGACCCAGGUGGACUGGGGCCAUCACUCUGGAUGCCCAAAAGAUGAGGACUUCUUAGGAAGUUGAGCAGCGAGCACUAGAUAUUAUUAAUAGAUGUCAAUAGCUGCUCAGACAUAGUAAUCAAAUGAAUUCUAAGGUCUUGAAUGUAAGGAGACUCACCACUUAUCCUUCAUCCCUUUGCUGGUGACAAGAAGAGACCAAGGUUUGUGAUGGUACUGCUGGGGGCUGCCUGUCAGAAAAAGGAAGGCAUCCUGCUUGGACCGGUUUCUGCAGAGGAAGGAAAGAAAGGAAACGUCGUCCCCUGGUGGGCAUCGUUGGUAGCGGCAGUAGGCAGCCGACCAGCAUUAGGUAUGAGGAGGAUGUUAAGGCAAGGAGGUUUCUCGAGUCCUGGUGAAUUAUCAUGUUGUAACUAUCCCAUGGCCAUUUAAAAGGAAUGUGCAUUCUGCUUAAAGGAUAUAUAUGCGUCUAUUAAAUCAAGAUGCUUUUAUUGUUACAUUCUUCAAAUCCUCUAUAUUCAUAUAUAAAUCCAUGCAUAUGAAAAUAUAUGAAUAUAUAGUCUAAAUUCAUAUAUAUAGUCUAUAUUCAUAUAUGUAUAUAUUUCUUGUGUCAAUUACGAGGGGCAGAGAGACAUGUUAAAAUCUCCUGGCUAUAAUUUUUAUUUGUCUAUUUUCCUUCAUACACUGCUAUGGUUUGAAUAUCCCUUCCAAAACUCAUGUUGAAAUUUAAUUGCCAUUGUAACAGUACUAAGAGGUGGAAUCUUUAAGAGAUAAUUAGGCCAUGAGGACUCCACUGUCUCGAAUGGAUUAGUGUUGCUAUCAUGGGAAUAGUUUCGCUAUAAAAGAGUGAAGAAAGACCCCCUUUUCUCUCUCACCCUCUCUUGCCCUUCUGUCUUCUGCCAUGGGAUGACACAGAAAGAAGGCUUCACCAAAUGCUGGUGCCUUGAUCUUGGACUUCCCAGCUUCCAGAUGUGAGAGAAAUAAAUCUGUGUUCAUUAUAAA